GGAAUUAUCAAUAUUACAAGAGAGGAAAAGACCAUAAGAUUAUCCCAGGAAAAAUAACAGAUCUUAUUAAGAUCUGCAGUAUGACAUCUAAUUAAGGACUCUCAGAAUUGAGGCUGUGGAGGUCUCGGAGGCAGUUGUGAAAAUGGUAGGAGUUGAGAAACAGCAAUCCACACCUGAUUGGAUGAAGGAGGCUACCUAAUCGUGUGUACCAAGCCAUCAUUUGAGCAACUACUCUAAAAGAAUAAGACACAGUCUAUCAAGGAUUUUUACUGUUAUAUUAGUUCCAGUCAGCUAUGGAAAGGCUCUUGAAGUGGUAAGAACUGGAGUGGAAAUGCAAGUGCUUUGCCCAAGAUCUACUAAUUGGAGAGAAGAGUUCACUUUCAUCCUCAAAAAUCUUAUUCCAGCUGGGAAUUUAGCUCAGUGGUUCCACCACCUGCCUGGAAAGCACAAGGACCUGAGUUCAAUCCCUGGUACAAAAAAAAAAAAAAAUCUUAUUCCAAAGAAUGACCUUUCAAAUCACUACGAUAUGUGAAGUGUGACCAAAAACUAUGCUGAAUGUUUAAUUGUCUUUAAAACAAUUAAAAUAAAAUGCACAUUGCCAUUUAUCCACCUCAAAAUACUGUCACCUGAA